GGUGACGUGGCGAGCGGCUCUCUGGACUGUACUGACGCUGAGGCGCGAAAGCGUGGGGAGCGAACAGGAUUAGAUACCCUGGUAGUCCACGCCGUAAACGUUGAGUGCUAGGUGUUAGGGGUUUCGACGCCCUUAUGGCCCAAUCAAACGCAUUAAGCACUCCGCCGGGGGAGUACGACCGCAAGGUUGAAACUCAAAGGAAUUGACGGGGGCCCGCACAAGCGGUGGAGCAUGUGGUUUAAUUCAACGCAACGCGAAAAACCUUACCAGGUCUUGACAUCUUCUGAUCGCUCCAGAGAUGGAGUUUUCCCCUUCGGGGGACAGAAUGACAGGUGGUGCAU
rnacentral:rRNA from 1 species